CACGGGUAGGGUGCGAGCGAUUGUCCGGAAUUGAUUAGGGCGUAAAGAGCUGCGGUAGGCGGUGGUUGUCGCGUCGGCCCGUGAAAAACCUGCAGCUUAACUGUGGGACUUGCGGUCGAUACGGGCAUCACUGGAGUUCGGCAGGGAGACUGGAAGUUCCUGGUGUAGCGGUGAAAUGACGCAGAUAUCAGGAGGAACACCCGGUGG
rnacentral:rRNA from 1 species